rnacentral:rRNA from 1 species
CACGUAGGGCGCAAGCGUUGUCCGGAAUUAUUGGGCGUAAAGAGCUCGUAGGCGGUCUGUUGCGUCCGCUGUGAAAACUCGGGGCUUAACCCCGAGCCUGCAGUGGAUACGGGCAGACUAGAGGUAGGUAGGGGAGAAUGGAAUUCCCGGUGUAGCGGUGAAAUGCGCAGAUAUCGGGAGGAACACCAGCGGCGAAGGCGGCGCUCUGGGCCGGUACUGACACUGAGGAGCGAAAGCGUGGGUAGCAAACAGG